rnacentral:rRNA from 1 species
GACGAACGCUGGCGGCGUGCCUAAUACAUGCAAGUCGAGCGAAUGACGAGAAGCUUGCUUCUCUGAUUUAGCGGCGGACGGGUGAGUAACACGUGGGCAACCUGCCCUACAGAUCGGGAUAACUCAGGGAAACCUGGGCUAAUACCGGAUAAUCCUUCGAAUCACAUGUUUUGAAGUUGAAAGGCGCUUCGGCAUCACUGUAGGAUGGGUCCGCGGUGGAUUAGCUAGUUGGUGGGGUAACGGCCUACCAAGGAAACGAUGCAUAGCCGACCUGAGAGGGGGAUCGGCCACAUUGGGACUGAGACACGGCCCAAACUCCUACGGGAGGCAGCAGUAGGGAAUCUUCCACAAUGGACGAAAGUCUGAUGGAGCAACGCCGCGUGAGUGAUGAAGGUUUUCGGAUCGUAAAACUCUGUUGUAAGGGAAGAACAAGUACGUUAGGAAAUGAACGUACCUUGACGGUACCUUAUUAGAAAGCCACGGCUAACUACGUGCCAGCAGCCGCCGCGG